rnacentral:rRNA from 1 species
CCUACGGGGGGCAGCAGUGGGGAAUAUUGGACAAUGGGGGGAACCCUGAUCCAGCCAUGCCGCGUGUGUGAAGAAGGCCCUCGGGUUGUAAAGCACUUUCAGUGAGGAAGAACGCCUGGUGGUUAAUACCCAUCAGGAAAGACAUCACUCACAGAAGAAGCACCGGCUAACUCCGUGCCAGCAGCCGCGGUAAUACGGAGGGUGCGAGCGUUAAUCGGAAUUACUGGGCGUAAAGCGCGCGUAGGUGGCUUGAUAAGCCGGUUGUGAAAGCCCCGGGCUCAACCUGGGAACGGCAUCCGGAACUGUCAAGCUAGAGUGCAGGAGAGGAAGGUAGAAUUCCCGGUGUAGCGGUGAAAUGCGUAGAUAUCGGGAGGAAUACCAGUGGCGAAGGCGGCCUUCUGGACUGACACUGACACUGAGGUGCGAAAGCGUGGGUAGCAAACAGGAUUAGAUACCCUAGUAGUC